UCGUGGGGCUCCGGCCCUAUCGAGAUAGAACCCUUGCCUUUUUUGAGUACCAUCCGUUUCCUCGGCAGGCUCGCCUGCCAAUGGGGACCCAAUCAAACCUUUGCAAUACCUGUAAUAGUCUGAUAAAACAAACAAAAAUCA
rnacentral:misc_RNA from 1 species